CCUUGCCUAACCGCUUAUAAACGCCUACCAAAUCUGGGAUCUUCCGCAGCUAAUCCCUUCCCCCACUUCCUCCAGUCCACCACCACCAAAUCUUGCACCACAUGGACGCCGCCGCCGCCCCAUCCAAGAGACCCAGGACCUCGGCGGCUUCCGUCGCCGGCACGCCGCGGAAGCCCAAGAACGCGCCCGCGGCCAGCGCCUUGCUCCCAGUUCCCGGCCAGGCCGCGACGCCGGACAAGACGGAGCGGCGGCCGCUGCUGCGGAGGGCGGCGGGCAAGGGCGCCGUCGCGCUCUCCGUCAAGGAGGUCCGGCGGGCCGCGCUCCAGCUGCGGCGCGCCGACAAGGGCCCUGCUGUGGCCGAGGAGGAGGACGCGCUCGAGUCCGUCGCAAGGGAGCUCGGCGUCGGCGCCGGCGCCGGACGCAGCCCCGUCAAGCGCAGGCCCGAGGUCAAGCUGCCCCAGAGCUACGAGACGCUCUGCGAGUUCUUCAACUGCUUCGAGAGCUCCACCCGGCUGCUCCGCAUGAAGGGGUCCAAGGCGACGUUCCCCAACAUCUGCGCCAGUGUCCAGAACCUGGCCGACAGGAGGUUCACCUACGGCCACCUUGCGCAGCUCAAGUACAUAAUGCCCGAGGCGAUCGUCAUCAAUAAGAUCCUUCUGCGCGACGAGAAGACCUGCUGCAUGAAGCCCGAUCUUCAGGUGAACCUGCUGGCUGAUGCGGUCGAGGGCAGCGUGCUGCAGAAGGGGGAGACCCGCUACGCGGCCCUCAGGAGGAUCUUCAGGCAGAGGCUGGUGGAUUUCUUCAGGAACCAUCCCGAGGGAGAUGAUAUUCCAGAGCAUGAGCUGCCGCAUCCGUUUACUCAAACAAAACCAAGCGUAGCUCAGAUCACACCUCGACUCGUUCCUGAAGCUGUAUGUGCUGUGGCAUCACCGUCUCUGGCUGAACAGCAGCCUGUUGGGAUGUCACACAUGUCACACUCCUUCAAGAGGAGGUUCUCGCAGAGAUCUUUAAACAGCCUUGGAACUGCCAGCACAACAAGUCCACUGGCAAACGCUGAGUCUGCCGCUUCAUCUCCAUCGAGCAGAAAGUCGGUGCCCAGUUCUGUUUCUGGUGGCACAGAGAAAGGUGGCAAGGAUGUUGCGCCCAGGUUUGGUGCUUCAGAAGGAACUCCUGCCAAGUUCGUCUCUACACCGGUCAGAUUAAUGGCAGCCACACCAGGCCUUGACACCCCAAAGAGGCCAACCUCUGGUACCAUGUGCGAUACGCCACAGCUGCAGACGGUCAAGCGAUCAGCCAGGGCCAAAUUGUUCAUGACACCCACAAAGGAUGCAAGCACUACGCAAGAGGAGAUCCAAAGCACAAGCACGUCUACCAUCGAUGCCGAUGAUGAGCUGCUCAGUUUCCUUCCAAAGUCCCUCUUGCAAUCCGUAAAGCAGAAGGAGAAGAGAGCUUUAGCGGAGAAGGAAACAGGAUUUGCUGAUCAGGUGCAAAGGCAGAAGCUUAUAUCGUCCCUGCCGAACACCUUUGAUAUUAUCUUUCUUAUCUAUCAGUCGAGGCAGCGCUCUGUACUGGCAAAGCAUGAGCUCGUCGACAGGAUAAUUGACCGUAGCCCAAAGAUUGUUGACAAGGGUGAGAUUGAAGAGCAACUGAGAUUGCUGCAAGAGUUUAUUCCAGAGUGGAUCUCCGAGAAGGCUGCAUUAAGUGGAGAUGUCCUCUGCUGCAUCGAUACAUCACUAAGCCAGUCAGAGAUUCGACAAAGGUUGCAGGGUGUCGAGUAGGGUGAAGCACAAAAUUUGUGCACCUUGUUUAGAAAUGUAGCAGUAUCAUAGUGCACGUUUGUGCCUAGAGGCUAGAAGUUGUCUUCACUUCUGUUCCAAGGUAGAUGCAGCAGAGGCAGGGAUUCGGCAAUGGUUGUAUGGUGCCUAGAGGCUGGAAGAAGGUAUCAAGAUAUACUGCCUCCGCAUUUCAGGAGAAAAAAAGUUUAAUUACAAGAGUAAAACUGGCCUGGCCAGCAUAAAGGGGAAAAAGGACUACUCUUGUCUAUCAGGCGCCAUGCUGGCUCAUCAACAGUGUCCCUAGAAGGCUGUUCUAAGCGCAGCCAAGCCUCACAAAUCUUACGAAGCUACAGGUCUUGCUGAAUGUGCUAGAGGAGCUAGGCUUCCGUGCUUUGAAUCUGCAGAAAAACCUGCUGGUUUGUUUCCAUCCACAGGUGCCAACAAUGUCAGCUGUUAGAGAUUUGGCUUCAACACCGGUCCUACUUCAGUCCACCGUUGCUCUGUGGAGGCACUCAUUCGACCAAAAUAUGAGCAUGUCAUGGCCAUCCCGAUCAGCCAUUAUGGGUAUAUAGCUGAAAUAUUAUCCAUGAUGGGUAAAUCCAUUCUCCCAACUCUUCAUAUAAGUAUGCAUCUCCUGUCCUAAUCUGAAUGUUUGAUCCAAUUCAUGGAUUUAAAGUUUCGUUCAGCUGGAGAUAGUUUGGGUCUUCUGCUGCCGAUGAAGUUUGUGAAGGUAUUGUACACAUCAAUUUUAAUGAGCUCUCCUAGGUUGCAAGGUGCCCAUUUCGGCUAAUAGGGGCUCAUGAAAGAUAGGAGAUAAUUGCAAGUGCCAGCUAAUUGCAAGAUUGCGCUAAGGUGGAUCACACAUCUUAUCAUAAUGUGGCAUAUAUUACAAUAGGUCAAUACUAUAGGAUACACAACGAUGUAUCAACUAGCCAGGCAUCCGUCAUUGUUUGGCCAUAGACUGGCCAGGCAUACAUACAUAAUAAAUGUAAUUUUGUCUGUUGAUAGCAUACUAAAUGACUAUACUUUCACACUUUUCAUGUAAUUAAAAGAAGGUUGUGGUUGGUAAUGAAAAAUCUGGUAGGUGCGUUUC